AACGAGGCCGACCUGCGGCUGAGUUACCUGCGGAGGGAUCAUUACCGAGUUUACAACUCCCAAACCCCUGUGAACAUACCUAUACGUUGCCUCGGCGGAUCAGCCCGCGCCCUGUAAAAAGGGACGGCCCGCCCGAGGACCCUAAACUCUGUUUUUAGUGGAACUUCUGAGUAAAACAAACAAAUAAAUCAAAACUUUUAGCAACGGAUCU
rnacentral:misc_RNA from 1 species